AUUUAUAUAAUUCAAAAAGAAUAUUGCAUUGAAGCUGCAAAAGUGGGCAAACGCUCUGUAGAUA